AUUCAAGUUGUGUUCUGUCCUGUGGUGUGAACCCUAAGAAAGUUUACUAUGUGCUAAACCCAGAUGGAAACCUACCUGACACUGAGAAUCGCUUUAAAGAAUGGUUUACUGGUGAGCGAGCGUGGCAGGGGGUUUGUGGAACUGCUCCUGACCCAGAUAAACUACAAGAGGCUGUGACCACCAAAGACCUUUACAUUUACAUAGGACAUGGUGCAGGAGCCCGGUUUCUGGAUGCUCAGAGGGUUUUGAAAGGGCCUGUGCGGGCAGUAGCUCUUUUGUUUGGCUGCAGUAGUGCUGCUCUCAGUGUCCUUGGCCACCAGGAAGGAACAGGAAUCAUCCUCAGCUACUUGACAGCAGGAUGCCCAUUAGUGCUCGGUAACCUGUGGGACGUGACAGAUCGUGAUUUAGAUCGGUUCACGUCGGCUCUGCUCCAGUCCUGGCUCUCUGCUGGUUCUGGCUCCUCCCUUCUUCAGCAUUUAGCCCAAUCACGUAACGCCACACAUUUAAAACAUAUAAUUGGUGCUGCACCCAUUGCCUAUGGUUUGCCUGUGUAUAUUCACUAGCCCGGAUUUGAACUUUUUUAUUAUUCACUGCUAAUGUAGUACAUUUUUAAUGUGUAAAUGCAACUAUCUAUUAUUUAUGGUCUCAGGGCUUGUUUACAAUGCAAAAAAUAAGCUCUGCCUAUAUGAAAAUGAACCUAGGAAAUCUAGGAUUAAAUCUAACUUGGGCCUAGUUGACAAACUCAAAGUGUUUAGCCAUUUUGAAGUCCUCAUUUAAUUUCUGCCGUGUUGUUGUGUGGUUGCAGUUGCUGAUUUAGUAACCUCAAUAUGUUUUACUCCAGUAUUUGAAGUCACAUGUUUUUGAUGUGUAAGUUCUUUCUUGUAUUUUCAUUUUUAUUUCCUCCAAGUUAUAUCAAAUGCCAAACUGCUUUAAAAUAAAAUGAUUUUAU